rnacentral:rRNA from 1 species
AACGAACGCUGGCGGCAUGCCUAACACAUGCAAGUCGAACGAGAUCUUCGGGUCUAGUGGCGCACGGGUGCGUAACGCGUGGGAAUCUGCCCUUUGGUUCGGAAUAACAGUUGGAAACGACUGCUAAUACCGGAUGAUGACGAAAGUCCAAAGAUUUAUCGCCAGAGGAUGAGCCCACGUAGGAUUAGCUAGUUGGUGUGGUAAAGGCGCACCAAGGCGACGAUCCUUAGCUGGUCUGAGAGGAAGAUCAGACACACUGGGACUGUGACACGGCGCAGACUCCUACGGGAGGCAGCAGUGGGGAAUAUUGGACAAUGGGCGAAAGCCUGAUCCAGCAAUGCCGCGUGAGUGAUGAAGGCCUUAGGGUUGUAAAGCUCUUUUACCCGGGAUGAUAAUGACAGUACCGGGAGAAUAAGCUCCGGCUAACUCCGUGCCAGCCGCCGCAGUAA